GAUGAACGCUGGCGGCGUGCUUAACACAUGCAAGUCGAACGAAGCACUUUAUUUGAUUUCCUUCGGGACUGAUUAUUUUGUGACUGAGUAGCGGACGGGUGAGUAACGCGUGGGUAACCUGCCUUGUACAGGGGGAUAACAGUUGGAAACGGCUGCUAAUACCGCAUAAGCGCACAGCAUCGCAUGAUGCAGUGUGAAAAACUCCGGUGGUAUAAGAUGGACCCGCGUUGGAUUAGCUAGUUGGUGAGGUAACGGCCCACCAAGGCGACGAUCCAUAGCCGACCUGAUAGGGUGACCGGCCACAUUGGGACUGAGACACGGCCCAAACUCCUACGGGAGGCAGCAGUGGGGAAUAUUGCACAAUGGGCGAAAGCCUGAUGCAGCGACGCCGCGUGAGCGAAGAAGUAUUUCGGUAUGUAAAGCUCUAUCAGCAGGGAAGAUAAUGACGUUACCUGACUAAGAAGCACCGGCUAAAUACGUG
rnacentral:rRNA from 1 species